CCUACGGGAGGCAGCAGUGAGGAAUAUUGGUCAAUGGACGCGAGUCUGAACCAGCCAAGUAGCGUGAAGGAUGACUGCCCUAUGGGUUGUAAACUUCUUUUAUAUGGGAAUAAAAUGUUCCACGUGUGGGAUUUUGUAUGUACCAUAUGAAUAAGGAUCGGCUAACUCCGUGCCAGCAGCCGCGGUAAUACGGAGGAUCCGAGCGUUAUCCGGAUUUAUUGGGUUUAAAGGGAGCGUAGGUGGAUUGUUAAGUCAGUUGUGAAAGUUUGCGGCUCAACCGUAAAAUUGCAGUUGAAACUGGCAGUCUUGAGUACAGUAGAGGUAGGCGGAAUUCGUGGUGUAGCGGUGAAAUGCUUAGAUAUCACGAAGAACUCCGAUUGCGAAGGCAGCUCACUAAACUGCAACUGACACUGAGGCUCGAAAGUGUGGGUAGCAAACAGGAUUAGAUACCCUUGUAGUC
rnacentral:rRNA from 1 species